GGAUUGUGGCUCAGUGAUAGAGCGCUCGCCUAGCAUGUGCGAGGUGCUGGGUUCUAUCCUCAGCACCA
rnacentral:tRNA from 1 species